GGCAUUCCAACUAUCCCCAUAUUGACUGGAGUUCAGACUGCUGGUGUAGGUGACAUGGUCAUGGCUACUGUCAAGAAGGGCAAGCCUGAGCUCAGGAAGAAGGUGCACCCGGCAGGGGUAAUUCGGCAGCGGAAAUCAUACCGGAGAAAAGACAGGAUGUUCCUCUAUUUUGAAGACAAUGUGGGAGUGAUAGUAAAUAACAAAGGGGAAAUGAAAGGCUCAGCAAUCACAGGCCCCGUGGCUAAGGAAUGCGCAGGUCUGUGGCCCAGGAUAACCCCCUAUGCUGGCAGCAUUGCAUAAACCUGCUCCAUUCUCAUUGUAAAGAUAAAUUAAAAGUGAUUGC